rnacentral:lncRNA from 1 species
AACAUAGCUAAACUAGGUUUUCCUUAAACAAGGCAUCAAAAGAAGAAUUCUUUAGUUUCCUUCUUUGUUGCGACUCGCGAGGGAGACGGGAGUGUGUGUGGCAAAGAGGAGAUGAGGAGGCAAGUGGGUUUAUCUAUUGGCUAAUUUAACACCUGACAAGGGUUUUGGUUGGCAGGGACCCAUGAGAGAGAUUGGUGCCUGUUUUUUUUUUCUUUUCUUUUUGUUUUGAGUUUUAAUGCAUUUGCUUCAGUAGCGGUGGUGGACUCACUGUUGCACUUUUCAGCUGAAGUUAAUAUUAUCCGGAUGAGCGGCAUAAUUUUAUAAGAAGCUUUUAUGCACUAAGUAUAUGUUUUUCUGUGGAUGGGAAGCCAAGACCAUCAC